rnacentral:rRNA from 1 species
GACGAACGCUGGCGGCGUGCCUAAUACAUGCAAGUAGAACGCUGAAGGAGGAGCUUGCUCUUCUGGAUGAGUUGCGAACGGGUGAGUAACGCGUAUGUAACCUGCCUGUUAGCGGGGGAUAACUAUUGGAAACGCUAGCUAAUACCGCAUAACAGUAUAUGUUGCAUGACAUUUGCUUAAAAGGUGCAAUUGCAUUACUACCAGUUGGUCCUUCCGUGUAUUAGGUAGUUGGUGGUGUAAAGGCUCCCCAAAGGGACGAUACAUAGCCGCCCCGAGAGGGGGAACGGCCAAACUGGGAAUGAGACACGGCCCAGGACCCUAAGGGAGGGAGGAGGAGGGAAAUUUCGGCAAUGGACGGAAGUCUGAACGAGGAACGCCGGGGGAGGGAAGGAGGGUGUCGGAACGUAAAGAUCUGUUGAAAGAGAAGAAAGAGAGGGGGAGUGGAAAGUGCACACUGUGACGGUAUCUAACCAGAAAGGGACGGCUAACUACGUG